UAACCCCAUCCCUCGGGUCCCAAGUUCAGAUAAUUUAAGAAAGUCUAAGCAGGAAAGUGAGACAUGAGUGACUCAGGACCCCAACUGAUUUUGGACAGCACGGUGCUCCAGUGCAGUAACACAUAAAAGUAGCAUUUUGCAGGGAAACCAGUCUUGACUUCCACAAACCUUCUAUAAUACAACUUUAAAAUUUGAGGUACUAGUGGUAUUACAUUGAGUGAGGUGGGGCCUUUGAACCAAUAGAAGGCAUUUCUCCUUUUAGCUAUUGAAGUGUUUAUCUAACUAAUCUUUAUCAAUAAAAACUCAGGAGUUGGAUAUCUGGGUAAGAACCUCAGUGAUAAGAGAAGUGGCUGUGGAGUGACCAGUGACCUCUCUCCUUCUUUCCUUGAUCCAAAAGAGCCUAGACUCUCCUAAGCCCCUCCCUACUAUUUCCUGUGUCUCUCUAUAUGUCCUUUGUCCUCCAAAACCUCUAUGGCUAAUUUUGGUCAGCUAGUAGUUAGCUCUACCCUCUGAUUCUAAGCAAACUUUAUUGCCAGUCUCAAGGAGUGUCAUCAGAGUGAGAUCAGAAUAACCCACAACAAGCUUCAGAACAUCUUGUAGUCUCUUAUUUUUGCCAAUCAAUAGAGAUCAACUCUACAAUAGAAAUGAUAUACAUGGGUGCAUGUUCCCACCUGAGGACAACUUUCAAAACUGCCUCUGCAGGUAUUUUAUAAAUACUCCAUAAACAAGAAGGAAUAGCUGCUGAAGGUUUUGGAGCUUCCACUGGGUCUCCACAGAGAAGGCAUUUUCUGGUUGGUUCCUGAAAGCCCUAUGUUUUAUAGGUGUAAAUAUCAUCUGCCCCAGGUCCUGCCCAUCCAGUCCUCUACAGCUCCCUUUCUUCCUCUCAGUCAGAGCCUGUGGCUGUUUGCAACUCUUUCUUGGUCAGUGUUCACUGCAGAAUUCUGGUGCUGGCCUUCAAAGCAAAGAUAUAUUCUGCUGCAAAGGAGCUGUCUACAGUGUGGAACCCAAACCAGGCCCCAGCAGUCACAGG